rnacentral:lncRNA from 1 species
UUUCAACGGGAGAGGACCUCAGAAAGUUUGCUCCUCGUAACGGUCGCGACUUUUUCACAACAUCUCAAUUAAUGUGCACACAAAGUUGUAAAUUCAUCCUGGCAUCCUCCAUUGGUCUUUUCUGAACUGGCUGCUCUUUCUCCGCCAGCUCAGCGCAUAAUUUCAAACCAUCUUCUCUUCAAGAGGCACUGUACAAGCCGCCGCAUCAUCAUCUCACGGCGGAGAAUCCCGCCUGGGCCUGGUGAGUCGGCACAUUAACAAGCUCGGAGCGGAGUCCUGAGUACCGAGUGUCACAAAUUGCGUCAAAUUGAAAUUGAAUGGAACUGAACAAGAAACAAAGUAGGCCUACUGAACGUGUUGAACUCGAACUGAACAUCGACUUGGAGGAUGCUCUAGCUUCAUGCAAGAAUAACAAAGAAAACAGAUAUCUGAGAAAUGGGAGCCUGUCAUAUCUGGAUGAGAGUGGUCAGAUGAAGAGGCUUCUGGUUGAGGCUUCUGGGUCGAGGCCCCAUUGCUGCUAGUAGGAGGACACAAGGAGGAGAACCUACGGAGCUAGGAACUGUGGACUCUGCAUGCUGAGCUUGCCAGGAAUUUCUACAAACUUUGGACACGAUUCUUUAUGGAGAGAAAACCCCACCGGAUAAUCGGGCAAGAAAGUUCAUUUUUACUAAAUAAAAAGAUUUCAAGAGAUGAAAUGACUAAGACUUGAGGGUUUGCAUAGUGGACAUUAAUGGGAGGAUUGUGGUAUAUAGCACCAUGUGAAUGGUAUCUCUUAGCUUAGUGAAUUGUGUGGUUCUGAGAAGAACCAUUUAAAAACAGAUAAAAUGGACUUCAGCGGCAUACGUCUGGAACAAGGUCAGACGCCAAGAACACUGUCAGAAUGAAAAGGCUUUAUGCCUUAUUUAUCUUAUUAUUGAAUCAUCAUGAUAUUCCAAGUUAUACAAUUCAGUGAGGACGAACUGCAGUGAACAUUAGUCACACUACUUGGAAUAUGAUCCAUCAGCCUUAUAAGGUUUAUCAUAAUUCAAUAGUAGAAAAGGACUGCUUAUACGACUUAUUCCAUGAGGAAUACAAAGAAGAAUUGAGAUGUCACAGUGUCUCCAUUCAGUGAAGACGAACUGCAAUGAACAUUAGUCACUACUUGGAAUAUGAUCCAACAGCCUUAUAAGAAGGUUUAUCAUAAGUCAAAAGUUAACAAAAGGACUGCUUAUACAACUUAUUCCAUGAGGAAUACAAAGAAGAACUGAGAUGUCACAGUGUCUUAAUUCAGUGAAGACGAACUGCAACGAACAUUAGUCGCACUACUUGGACUAUUAUCCAAAAGCCUUAUAAUUAGAGAACGACUUCUUAUGCGACUCAUUAUUCGACGAGGAAGACAAAGAAAAACUGAGAUGUCACAGCGUCUGGGGCGCUGUCCUUAUACGCAUUUUAAACAAAAUUUACCUUCCAAAGUAAACAAUUUUCAAAAACUCUGAGUCAUCAAUAUGGGCACUGGUAGAUACUUUGUUUCUAUAAAUAUAAAGAAAGAAACUGAUUUCAUCCUGCCCGAUAUUGAACAUAAAAACCAUUAGAGAGUGAAAUUAUCAUUUGUGAACUGAAAAAAAAAGCAGUUUGCUCUUUACAGAGGUGAUGAUGAUGAUUGAAAGUAAGAAGAAAAAAAGUUGAUCAUCACUUUGCCCAUAGUAAUGACUGUGUACGUUGUGAUUAUUUCAUGUGUAUUGUGUGAUUAUUUCUUGUGUAUGGUGCGA